rnacentral:rRNA from 1 species
AUUGAACGCUGGCGGCAUGCUUUACACAUGCAAGUCGAACGGUAACAGGCCGCAAGGUGCUGACGAGUGGCGAACGGGUGAGUAAUGCAUCGGAACGUGCCCAGUCGUGGGGGAUAACGCAGCGAAAGCUGCGCUAAUACCGCAUACGAUCUAUGGAUGAAAGCGGGGGACCGUAAGGCCUCGCGCGAUUGGAGCGGCCGAUGUCAGAUUAGGUAGUUGGUGGGGUAAAGGUUCACCAAGCCAACGAUCUGUAGCUGGUCUGAGAGGACGACCAGCCACACUGGGACUGAGACACGGCCCAGACGCCUACGGGAGGCAGCAGUGGGAAAUUUUGGACAAUGGGCGCAAGCCUGAUCCAGCAAUGCCGCGUGCAGGAAGAAGGCCUUCGGGUUGUAAACUGCUUUUGUACGGAACGAAACGGUCCUGGUUAAUACCUGGGGCUAAUGACGGUACCGUAAGAAUAAGCACCGGCUAACUACGUGCCAGCCGCCGCAGUAAAAC